AGCAGCCGCGGUAAUUCCAGCUCCAAUAGCGUAUAUAAAGUGUGCAGUAAAAGCUCGUAUGAAUUCGGGAUUCAUACGUUGGUCGGGCUUUUUGGUCUGUACUUAUGUAAUGGAUUCCACCUUCUGAAUAACCGGCAUGCCAUUAAUUUGGUGCGCCGGGGAAGCAGGACUGUUACCUGAAAAAUUAGAGUGCUUAAAGCAGGCUAUCGCCUGAAUACAUUA
rnacentral:rRNA from 1 species